AGAAUUCAGUGAAUCAUCGAAUCUUUGAACGCACAUUGCGCCCCCUGGUAUUCCGGGGGGCAUGCCUGUUCGAGCGUCAUUU
rnacentral:rRNA from 1 species